ACCUGACUGGCUUAGUCAGUAGAGCAUGUGACUCUUGAUCUCAGAGUCUUGAGUUCAAUCCCAAGAUGGGCA
rnacentral:tRNA from 1 species